AAAUUGAAGAGUUUGAUCAUGGCUCAGAUUGAACGCUGGCGGCAGGCCUAACACAUGCAAGUCGAACGGUAACAGAAAGCAGCUUGCUGCUUCGCUGACGAGUGGCGGACGGGUGAGUAAUGUCUGGGAAACUGCCUGAUGGAGGGGGAUAACUACUGGAAACGGUAGCUAAUACCGCAUAACGUCGCAAGACCAAAGAGGGGGACCUUCGGGCCUCUUGCCAUCGGAUGUGCCCAGAUGGGAUUAGCUAGUAGGUGGGGUAACGGCUCACCUAGGCGACGAUCCCUAGCUGGUCUGAGAGGAUGACCAGCCACACUGGAACUGAGACACGGUCCAGACUCCUACGGGAGGCAGCAGUGGGGAAUAUUGCACAAUGGGCGCAAGCCUGAUGCAGCCAUGCCGCGUGUAUGAAGAAGGCCUUCGGGUUGUAAAGUACUUUCAGCGGGGAGGAAGGGAGUAAAGUUAAUACCUUU
rnacentral:rRNA from 1 species